rnacentral:rRNA from 1 species
UACGUAGGGGGCAAGCGUUGUCCGGAUUUAUUGGGCGUAAAGAGCGUGUAGGCGGUCAGGUAGGUCCGUUGUGAAAACUCGAGGCUCAACCUCGAGACGCCGAUGGAAACCAUCUGACUAGAGUCCGGAAGAGGAGAGUGGAAUUCCUGGUGUAGCGGUGAAAUGCGCAGAUAUCAGGAGGAACACCGGUGGCGAAGGCGGGUCUCUGGGCAGUUACUGACACUGAGGCACGAAGGCCAGGGGAGCAAACGGG